GAAAAUAUGACUUUUAUAAUAACUCCUAUUUAAUUGUAAAAUAAUGAAAAAAUAAAAUGGACAGUCAUCCAGCUCUUACUCUAAUAGGAGAAAAUUUGACAAUGGCAAAACCCAUCUCCCCUUGUCAAUUAAUUGUCAUUACUAAUGCAACUCAAUCAUUAUUUCAACUGAAAUGUUUAGGCCAUCAACUGAGCGGACAAACAAAGAUGGCGAUACAUCAGAUUGCCUGUUCUUUGUGCUUGAGCUGUGAAUGUCUUAACAACAAAACUCCAUGCCUGCCUUAGCCCUAAAUUAGAUCUCCUCAUAAACAUUUUCAUCUUGAACAGGUGAUGAUGAAUUCCUUGUAUAAAGAGAGCCUGUAUUUACCGUUCCAUCUACCAUAAUCGAUCGAACCAUCUUCUCUAUUUCUUCGUGAAGAUGAGGAUUGUCUCUCAAGUACUGUAAUGCUCUGUCCCUUCCUUGUCCCAAUCUUUGUCAAAACACAAAUGACAAGAAAUGACUAUCAGCCACAAUAUUUUUAGACGGCAUUCAGGCAGCACUGAACUGUUAAAACAUGCAUCAUGAAAAUUUGAAAGCAAGAAAAAAGAAAAUGAUACUUCAUGAGAUAUUAACUGCAAGGAGUAGCCAGAAUAAAAUCUUGAAGACCUAUCAUAUGCAGUUAGAAUAUGAAUCCUCAAGUUCCAACUAUUUCCUGUAAUCAAAGUUUCAGGAAGACAAUGGGUUGUUUUCUUUCUAUGCUGUAGUACUCGCAAAAAAUCUUCUGCAUUCAAGUAAUUUGUUCCAAAUCAGAACUUCAAAGAAUUACAUUGUUCUGGUUGAGGGAACAUUUUUUCCCUAAUCUCCUCCUGUUUUUAGUCAAUUGGAUUAACUAUUUAAUUUAGUUAACCAAGGAAUGCAAUCAAAGUCUAGCUGUUCUAAUAUUUGUCUGGAAUUGGAUUAUGAAUUUUUGACUUGCAUGACUAAAACCUCCCAUGUUACCUUGUACCACUCAAAUAUUAAAAUUGCAUUAAGAAAAACUUGUUUUUGUAAUCUAGAUAUGAAACUAAAUGAAUUGAUCAACAAACAAAAAUAGAAUAUUUCUUAAUGAGAAUAGGCACAAGGUAAAUUUAUAUCUAAAGCCAUUAAUUUUAGAAGUCAACAAAACUAUACUCUGCAGUACAGAUGAGCAUAAUCAAUGACUGCAAACAUAGUAAGAAAGUAGCUGCAUAAGCAGUAGUGCAAAAUCUCAACAAAGAAGAAGAAAAAGGGGAGGAGAAGGAAAAUGAGCAGCAGCAAGAACAAAUAAGUUUAAUUUGCAAAUGCCCAUUGUUCUGUAGACAAACAAAUGCUUAAAAUCAUCUUAAUUGAUGUAAGGUAAGGUAACAUGUUUUAGACAUUUACUCCUAUUGUGGAAAGUCAAUAUUUAUGUUUAG
rnacentral:misc_RNA from 1 species